rnacentral:rRNA from 1 species
GACGAACGCUGGCGGCGUGCUUAACACAUGCAAGUCGAACGGAAAGGCUCCAGCUUGCUGGAGUACUCGAGUGGCGAACGGGUGAGUAACACGUGGGUAAUCUGCCCUGCACUCUGGGAUAAGCCCGGGAAACUGGGUCUAAUACUGGAUAUGACCUUUCUCCUUAUGGGGUUUGGUGGAAAGUUUUUCGGUGUAGGAUGAGCCCGCGGCCUAUCAGCUUGUUGGUGGGGUGAUGGCCUACCAAGGCGACGACGGGUAGCCGGCCUGAGAGGGUGAUCGGCCACAUUGGGACUGAGAUACGACCCAGACUCCUACGGGAGGCAGCAGUGGGGAAUAUUGCACAAUGGGCGGAAGCCUGAUGCAGCGACGCCGCGUGAGGGAUGACGGCCUUCGGGUUGUAAACCUCUUUCAGCAGGGACGAAGCGUAAGUGACGGUACCUGCAGAAGAAGCACCGGCUAACUAUGUG